ACAUGCAGUGCUCAUUGCUUAUUAUCCAAUGCAUUCCCUUUCUAGUGGUAAAAUUGUAAAUAACGAUACCUGGAUUACUACCGGUUAAAAUGCUACAUCGGUAUUAUCUGUGCGCUUGUGGAUCUUUUAUUUAUUUUCUAGAAAAGCAUAUACAUUUAAUACCAGCAUCUCUACAUCAUGUUCGGGAUGACAACUUAGCUUAAGUGGUGUUAGAGGUGUCAACAUAAGCAUUGAGGGUAGUUAUGCUGUAUUGACCCUAACAAACUAGUCAUGUAGUUAAAGUCAAGACUAUGUGCUCUUCAUCCAUUGAUCGCUACUUCUGUUCUUAGAAGUAUGCAACCACUUACAUCCACUACACAUUCUUCCUGUGCUACUUGUGUUCCUAGAAAUAACACCCACAUAUACGCACUACACUCUGUGCUGUUUCUAUCCUAUAGACAUGCACCUCCGCUGCUCCUACCCUAGUAGUACGCAUUCAUCCAUCCACAUAUACAUAUUCUUUCUCCACUCAGAAAAUAUUCUACUUCUACACUAGGAGGGGACACCCAAAAAUAUUCAUUGCUAGCAUAUCUUUUUCUACUUGUCCAUUAAAGAUCCAGUUAUUUCAGUUGAUACUCCAUACUGCUAUUAAUGCAUUAAAAGGAUUGGUUAUUAAAAAAAAGAAAAGAAAAGAAAGAGGACAAAAGUCUCAAAGGAAACAAAAAGUAGCCAGGUCCUUAUUUUCAGAUUAGGGAGGUAUGUUAUCCCCAAGGAGCAAAUGUAGAAUUAGAUUUUCACCAUCAGUCAUCACCCCUUAUCAUCGCCAUCAUUUUUAUCACUCAUUUCAUUCACUGCACUCGCAUGCAUAUAUGACAUGAUUGUAUGAUUAGUUUCUCUGGAUCCACGGUUUAACUAUGCAAUACAUACAAGUAGGUUUGAAUUGUCUCCUCAACUUAUAAGCUCCACAUAAGCCUAUUAGAAGUAGGAUGAGAGAGAGAAGGCAUGCCUUACACUUCUCUUGGAGAGAAUCCAAAAAUACCACAUAUGACAGACUUGGAAGGGUCGUACAAGGAAUCUCUAAGUCUUAUUUGAAAAAAAAAUCUUGCAAAAACUCCAAAAUAAUAGUUGUUGAAAGAGCUAGAGAUAUAACACUCAACUUAACCAUUCUAUCUUUCAACUACUCAAGACCUAAGACAAGGCUAUAAGCCCCAUUGUGAAAGGUAAUAUAGGUAAGUCUUGAGUCAGAAUAGUUUACUCUAAUUCGGAGGAUAGUUCUUGUUUGAACGUAUGUGUAUUUAUGAGGCGUGAGAUUAUUGCAGCAACUUCUGAUCCAUCACUGAGUUUAUCUUUGCAAUGGGACGAGCAAAGUGUAAGCCUGGGGGAGUUUGUUGACGGUAGAUAACUCCUAUUUUUAAUCAUCAAUAUAUAGCUAAAGGGGGCAUAAUUGUAAUAUCAACAUAGACAUAGGGGUUUUUGGUGAAUAUCUAUUUCUGCAUGGCGUUAUCAGAAAAGAGCCAAAUAGGGCAUACAUGCCAUGUUUACAUAGAGACAGGAGCAAGAGGGCACACAUGUCAUAUUUACAU
rnacentral:lncRNA from 1 species